UUUAAAUUUCUUGGUUUCAGAAUUAAAAGUAGAAGUUUUAAAUGUUGGGCGCCGCCGAAGCAGUCACCCAAGCAGUUGUCAGUCGAGACUGACAGUUCACAGUGGUUUGGCAAAAAGCCUUCAGAAAUGAUCCUUCCGCAGGUUCACCUACGGAAA
rnacentral:misc_RNA from 1 species